CGGAAAGCAUAGUUCUUCCUUCUGUACCAGGGAAGAAAGUGGUCAGUCAGAAACUCCACAUACUUUGCAGAGGUCAUCUUUACACCUUCGGGGACCUAAAGGGGCCGGCCAGCUCUCUUCCCAUGAUUCCGGCCCAAAACAUAACUCCACCACCGCCUUGCUGACGUCGCAGCCUUGUUGGAACAGGGUGGCCGUCCACCAACCAUCCCCUACUCCAUCCAUCUGGACCAUCCAGGGUUGCACGGCACUCAUCAGUGAACAGGACUGUUGAAAAUUAGUCUUCAUGUAUUGUUCUGCCCAAUGCAGCCGUUUCUGCUUGUGAGCAUUGGUUAGCAGUGGCCGAAUAAACUCUGGAGGACUCUACAC